AAAUCAGAUGUGCCUUGACAUCCACAUCAAAAUCAAAUGAAACAUUAGACGUGUAACAAUAUUUAAUAGAUACACAAACCAUCAGCAAAAAACAAAUAUAAAGUAUAAAUAUAAAGCCACACAACACCGGAGAAACACAACUCAAGAAACCAUAAGAAAAUGGGGAUACCUAUUUUAAAGAAAUGUUGCUGCUGCGAUUUAAAAUGGGGAGCUAUCAUUGUGGCCAUUAUUGGUUUUUUGGAUUUUGCCCAUCUGACUUAUAGUGCUAUACAAGAUACACAAUUUCCAUUGUUGAUGCGGUAUUUGGCCAUGAUACUAGGAGUAGCUUUCUUAGUGGCUUGCAUUCUAAUCAUAGUUUCUCUGUUUGUGCCGAGGAAGGAACUUCCAUGUGUCUAUCUCGUCGUGGCAAUGGUUGAAAUUGUUGUAUUGAUAUUCGAUAUAAUAUUUUUUACAGUUAUUCUAUGUACAAAAAGUGGAGACGAUAAUAGAGAAGCUCUAAAAUAUUUAAUUACUUGUAUAAUUACAAUUCCUAUAGUAGUUUACUGCUGGUGGGUCAUCUACUCAUGGUACAAAAAACUCCAAAGCCCAGACGAAUAGUGAUCUUUAAAUCAAA